rnacentral:rRNA from 1 species
CAGUCGCCGCGGGAAUACGGAGGGUGCAAGCGUUAUCCGGAUUCACUGGGUUUAAAGGGUGCGUAGGCGGAUCUGUAAGUCAGUGGUGAAAUCUCCAGGCUUAACCUGGAAACCGCCGUUGAUACUAUAGGUCUUGAAUUUUGUGGAGGUUAGCGGAAUAUGUCAUGUAGCGGUGAAAUGCAUAGAUAUGACAUAGAACACCAAUUGCGAAGGCAGCUGGCUACACAACUAUUGACGCUGAGGCACGAAAGCGUGGGGAGCAAACAGGAUUAGAUACCCGCGUAGUCCCUGUCUCUUAUAC